rnacentral:tRNA from 2 species
GCCCCUUUCGUUCAGUGGCCUAGGACUCCGCCCUUUCACGGCGGCAACGCGGGUUCGAAUCCCGUAGGGGGUACGA